AUCGCUUCUCGGCCUUUUGGCUAAGAUCAUGUGUAGUAUCUGUUCUUUUCAGCUUAAUAUCUGAAAUGCUGCUCAUUGAGUAGCUUCUAUAUUAAACUGAUUUUUGAAAUUAGGCCAUGGAGUAGGAGCUUGCUCCGUCCUGGCCACGGGUUGGCCUGGUAUUGCAGUACCUCCAGGAUUGGCCCAUCCUCU
rnacentral:snRNA from 1 species